rnacentral:rRNA from 1 species
CUGGAGGUAUCAGAAGUGCGAAUGCUGACAUAAGUAACGAUAAAGCGGGUGAAAAGCCCGCUCGCCGGAAGACCAAGGGUUCCUGUCCAACGUUAAUCGGGGCAGGGUGAGUCGACCCCUAAGGCGAGGCCGAAAGGCGUAGUCGAUGGGAAACGGGUUAAUAUUCCCGUACUUGGUGUUACUGCGAAGGGGGGACGGAGAAGGCUAUGUUGGCCGGGCGACGGUUGUCCCGGUUUAAGCGUGUAGGUGUGUGUUCCAGGUAAAUCCGGUUCACUUUAACACUGAGGCGUGAUGACGAGGCACUACGGUGCUGAAGCAACAAAUGCCCUGCUUCCAGGAAAAGCCUCUAAGCAUCAGGUAACAUCAAAUCGUACCCCAAACCGACACAGGUGGUCAGGUAGAGAAUACCAAGGCGCUUGAGAGAACUCGGGUGAAGGAACUAGGCAAAAUGGUGCCGUAACUUCGGGAGAAGGCACGCUGACACGUAGGUGAAGUGAUUUACUCAUGGAGCUGAAGUCAGUCGAAGAUACCAGCUGGCUGCAACUGUUUAUUAAAAACACAGCACUGUGCAAACACGAAAGUGGACGUAUACGGUGUGACGCCUGCCCGGUGCCGGAAGGUUAAUUGAUGGGGUCAGCGCAAGCGAAGCUCCUGAUCGAAGCCCCGGUAAACGGCGGCCGUAACUAUAACGGUCCUAAGGUAGCGAAAUUCCUUGUCGGGUAAGUUCCGACCUGCACGAAUGGCGUAAUGAUGGCCAGGCUGUCUCCACCCGAGACUCAGUGAAAUUGAACUCGCUGUGAAGAUGCAGUGUACCCGCGGCAAGACGGAAAGACCCCGUGAACCUUUACUAUAGCUUGACACUGAACAUUGAGCCUUGAUGUGUAGGAUAGGUGGGAGGCUUUGAAGUGUGGACGCCAGUCUGCAUGGAGCCGGCCUUGAAAUACCACCCUUUAAUGUUUGAUGUUCUAACGUGGACCCGUGAUCCGGGUUGCGGACAGUGUCUGGUGGGUAGUUUGACUGGGGCGGUCUCCUCCUAAAGAGUAACGGAGGAGCACGAAGGUUGGCUAAUCCUGGUCGGACAUCAGGAGGUUAGUGCAAUGGCAUAAGCCAGCUUGACUGCGAGCGUGACGGCGCGAGCAGGUGCGAAAGCAGGUCAUAGUGAUCCGGUGGUUCUGAAUGGAAGGGCCAUCGCUCAACGGAUAAAAGGUACUCCGGGGAUAACAGGCUGAUACCGCCCAAGAGUUCAUAUCGACGGCGGUGUUUGGCACCUCGAUGUCGGCUCAUCACAUCCUGGGGCUGAAGUAGGUCCCAAGGGUAUGGCUGUUCGCCAUUUAAAGUGGUACGCGAGCUGGGUUUAGAACGUCGUGAGACAGUUCGGUCCCUAUCUGCCGUGGGCGCUGGAGAACUGAGGGGGGCUGCUCCUAGUACGAGAGGACCGGAGUGGACGCAUCACUGGUGUUCGGGUUGUCAUGCCAAUGGCACUGCCCGGUAGCUAAAUGCGGAAGAGAUAAGUGCUGAAAG